GACGAACGCUGGCGGCGUGCCUAAUACAUGCAAGUCGAACGCUGAAGGAGGAGCUUGCUUCUCUGGAUGAGUUGCGAACGGGUGAGUAACGCGUAGGUAACCUGCCUGGUAGCGGGGGAUAACUAUUGGAAACGAUAGCUAAUACCGCAUAAGAGUAGAUGUUGCAUGACAUUUGCUUAAAAGGUGCAAUUGCAUCACUACCAGAUGGACCUGCGUUGUAUUAGCUAGUUGGUGGGGUAACGGCACACCAAGGCGACGAUACAUAGCCGACCUGAGAGGGGGAUCGGCCACACUGGGACGGAGACACGGCCCAGUAGCCUACGGGAGGCAGCAGGAGGGAAACGUCGGCCAUGGGCGGAAGGCUGACCGAGCAACGCCGCGUGAGUGAAGAAGGGUGUCGGAUCGUAAAGGUCGGUUGUAAGAGAAGAAAGAGUGUGAGAGUGGAAAGUUCACACUGUGACGGUAUCUUACCAGAAAGGGACGGCUAACUACGUG
rnacentral:rRNA from 1 species